rnacentral:rRNA from 1 species
UACGUAGGGUGCAAGCGUUAAUCGGAAUUACUGGGCGUAAAGCGUGCGCAGGCGGCUUCGCAAGUCAGACGUGAAAUCCCCGGGCUUAACCUGGGAAUGGCGUUUGAAACUACGGAGCUGGAGUGUGGCAGAGGGGGGUGGAAUUCCGCGUGUAGCAGUGAAAUGCGUAGAGAUGCGGAGGAACACCGAUGGCGAAGGCAGCCCCCCUGGGUCAACACUGACGCUCAUGCACGAAAGCGUGGGGAGCAAACAGG